UGGCUCAGUCAGUAGAGCAUGUGACUGUUGAUCUCAGGGUUGUGAGUUCAAGCCCCAC
rnacentral:tRNA from 1 species